GAGAACUAACUUAAGUUGGGCGGGCUCUUACUCCCGGGCUCUUAGGGACAAGCCCUACUGAGUAGUAAAACAGCAACACCCGACCUCUGUGAAUCAAAGGGUGUUCUGUCAAGCAAGGGGCACGGAAGCUGCUCGUUUUCAUUUUCCGUUAGGAUUUGUCUCAUUCGGCUUCAGGAAGACAGACCAGGGAGGCCUGGGACGGGCGAACUGCUGUCGCCCGCACUGCCUGGCUCUCCGCAGGGCAGGGCGCCGCGGGGGACAGAACCUCUGGGGGACCCUGAGCUCCGGCACUCUCCGAGCUGCUGCGCAAUCUCCAAUGUACAGAACUGUGUUCUGGCGGGUUUCUAAUGUCGAAACAUCUUAACAUUUAAAUGAAGUGAAUUGCAACAAUUGCUUUUCCCUGAACAGAGCAGGUGCGAUCCUCUCUGUUUUCUCUCGUUAUUUCAUGGGCAUAUAAUAGAAAAGCACCAUUUGGCCAAGUACGUCCCCCGCCCCCCGUUGGCAAAGUUACAAACACGGACUUCUCCCCCUUGCUCUCUGCAGGCUCCGCGUCCCCUCCUUGCCUGCCCGCGGGUCCUCUUCUCCUUCCCAGCGUGUUUUGCCAUCCCCACUUCUGUCUUUGCUCUUCCACUUUCUCUCCCUUUUGAACAUUUUUACGCGCACACACUGCUUAUCAGCUUCUACGCGCCCAACUUGAAUACGUGCUUGCCCUGGCUUUACAGUCAGGAAAGGGGGAGGGGGGCACGAAAAAGUACAGAAGAGGAAGGGAGAGAAACAAGAUUUAUAAAACAGAUGUCUUGAUCUGCACCUGCCCAAAACUUAAGAUGGAAAUUAGGCCACCAGGAGGUGAGCUGGGGAGGGGGAAGCGAUGCAAGCCUAGUGGGCCGCUUCCCUUCAAUUUCUCUGCCCCCAAUGCCGGACUCCUAUAUCAUGUUGUAGGAAUUUCUAAUCUUACCAUAGCCCAUGACUCAUACCGACUGACUGGCUCGAUAGGCUUCUGCAAAACACCUGGGAAGAUAAACCUGACCCAGAAAACAAUCUCUCGCUCCAGGUUAGCCUUUCAAGGAUAUACAAACCACAGAAUUCCGAUGACUCACCCCAAAAUAGCUUAUGAAUAUGCCAGGGGCGGAAGGGCAUGCUGUUUGGUUCUCUAAAACUUCCUGCCAAACUGAAGAAACUGAACAUACACAGAUAUUUGGGGACUAACUCAAUAGACUACCCUUUGUCUUGAAAUUUUGUGAGUGAUUUCAAUCCUGAGUUGAAACCAAGGGCUCAAAGGACCUGAGAAACCAUACUUCCUACCCACAAUAGACGUCAUUUCCAAAAAUGAGAGCAAAAGCACCUACAUGACCUUUUCACUCCCCGCGUUUCUUGAAACACCACAAAAGAAUGAAUAGGAACGUUCUGUGGUUUGGGAUGGGAGCCUGGACAGGUAUGGCCUCUCACAGCAACUUGCACACGGUCCCAGAAAAAUGCCAAACAGAACUCUGCUAGGGGACUUCGGGGAGCACUGCGAUUCAGACUGAUGCCCCCCGGUCCUAUCAGACCAAAGAUCAGUUGGAGAUGCUUCAGGGUUGCACGUGUUUGCUGGCCCAGAACCUUCAGUGCGUCAUGGCCUCACCUGACACUGACUCAUCGUUGGAUGGAAAGCCAAAGCCUAAUUGUGUUGGUCAUAUGUAGCUUCCCACUUGCAGCCAAGUGUUCCAACCCCUUGCAGAAAAAUUUCACCUUGCUUUCCCACUACACCCUCAGAUAUUUCUAAGGCAAUAGACACCGCAGACUUCUGAAUUCCCUUGCCACCCUGAGUCUGCUUCUGUCUCUUCUGAUGGCUCCCCUCCCCCAUCAGGGCCCACCUUGGCACCAAACCUGAUGAAGAAGCUGGAGGGGGUUGGGGCUCCUCCCUGUGGGCUCUCAAUAAAUAUGCAUCCAACUCGGUUGGGUCACUCUCAGAGAUAAGAGGCAGCCCGGAUGACCAGAUUUCCUAAAUACAUCUGAAAACCCAUUACCUGGGGCCAGGGUGACAGGAGAUUUUUUCUUUACAGAAAAAAAAUUUUCUCAAAUGCACAGCGGUAAGCCUCAAUACAGAUACUGUGUCUUACUUGAGCUUUAUAAAAAAUUCAACAUGUCUGGCACAGGAGCUUAAGACUCCAAGGCAGAAAAUCUAAAUCGGUAACAAAAUUCUCCCGAAGUAAUAGGUGGUUCACAGACAUCAAAGAGUCAAACCCAACAUGAAAUAUGUAUUGGACAAAAAUAGCAUAGAGCCAGCUCUUGUUUCUUGAUAUCUCAGGCUGUAUGUUUUCCCAUCUACCCUGGCAGAUUCCUUAUCAGUUUGUGUACACACCGUGCUUGCAAAGUGCUAGAAACAUAUGUAUUUUGGAUUUUUUUUGUUAUAGAAAUAAAGAAUGGAUGGAUGUGAGAUUAGUAAGAAAUAAAGAGAAGAAAGGAAAAGGGAAAGAAAAAAGAAAGACUAAACCUGUGGCGAAUCAACAUUUACGCUAUGAGCAUAAGCACUUAGUGUUAUUUUUGUGUGACUUAACACCCUAAUUCUAAAAAUGAGCCUCUGAAGCCCGAUUCUGCGUACAGCGGGCUGGGUGGGUAGGAAUGUAACACCCAGCCCUUGAAAUCAAAAGAAAAAAUUGGGGAAAGAAAGUUUCACAGCACUGUUAAAAAGAAUACCCAGGUUAUUCAAGAUAAAAAUACUGAACAUGUGGUAGGAUCAAACAAAUAUCAUUUACCAAAGACGGGCAUAGUCAAUACUUCUACAACUCGAGAAGGCAAGAGAGGCUCUGGUGGGUAAGAGCACACACAAAAAAUACCUAUGUAAACAAAAGUAGGUGGGCCUCAAAGAAUUUAGGAGACUUAAACAAAACAGAAAAAAGAGAAUUUUAGGGACCAAACUGGGAUUGGUGUUUUCUAGGCGUAUGCAUGUGAGAUGACUGAAAUGAAUACAAGCCACCACAAGGGAAUGAGGAGGAGAUAGAACUAGAACCAUCCCUCUCCCUUCCUGGAGAAAUCAGC